rnacentral:lncRNA from 1 species
CUGGGGCCAUUCUGGGGCCGUUUGUUGCCAUUUUAGGGCCGUUUAUUGCCAUUUUGGGGUCAUUUGGGGCCAUUUUAAGGCCAUUUGUUGCCAUUUGAGGCCGCUUAUUGCCAUUUGGUGCCCCCCGGGGCCAUUUUGGGGCCGUUUGUUGCCGUUUUGGGUCCGCUUAUUGCCAUUUGGGGCCGUUUGUUGCCAUUCUGGGGCCGUUUGCUGCCCUUUGCUGCCCUUUUGGGCCAUUUUGGGUCGGUUUGUUGCCAUUUUAGGGCCGUUUGUUGCCAUUUGGGGCAUUUUGAGGCCAAUUGCUGGCAUUUUGGGGCCGCUUAUUGCCGUUUUGGGGCCGUUUGUUGCCGUUUGUUGCCAUUUGGGGUCCCCUGGGGCCAUUUUGGGGCCGUUUUUUGUCACUUUAGGGCCGUUUGGUGCCGUUUGGGGCCAUUUUGGGGCCGUUUGUUGCCAUUUUGGGCCAUUUUGGGGCCGUUUAUUGCCAUUUUGGGCCAUUUUGGGUUGGUUUGUUGCCAUUUUGGGCCGUUUUGGGGCCAUUUGUUGCCCUUUGUUGCCAUUUUGGGACCGUUUGUUGCCAUUUUGGGGCCGUUUGUUGCCAUUUGUUGCCAUUUUAGGGCCGUUUGUUGCCAUUUGGGGGCCGUUUGUUGCCAUUUUGGGGUCAUUUGGGGCCAUUUUGGGGCCGUUUGUUGCCAUUUGGGGUCAUUUUGGGACCGUUUGUUGCCAUUUGGGGGCCGAUUUUUGCCAUUUUGGGGCCAAUUUUUGCCAUCUUGGGGCCAAUUUUUGCCAUUUUGGGGCCGUUUGUUGCCAUUUUUGGCCAUUUUGGGGGCGUUUGUUGCCGUUUGGUGCCAUUUUGGGCCAUUUUGGGGCCGUUUGUUGCCAUUUGUUGCCGUUUUGGGCCAUUUGGGGCCAUUUUGGGGCGGUUUGUUGCCAUUUUUCGGGGUGACUCACGUUUGGGGGGGUGGCGCUGUGCGUGACGCUGGGGGCGCAGGCGCGGUUGGAGCCCGCGGGCGGCUCGGACCCGGAGACGCGGCGCUUCUUGCUCAGCGGGGGGCUGGACAUCUGGGGGGCGGGGCCAGAUGUUGGCCACGCCCCCUUUGACCACACCCCCUUUGGCCACACCCCUCGGGCCACACCCAUUGGCCGCCCCCCUUUUGGCCCCGCCCCCUCCCCCAGCCACCCCCCUCCCUCACCCCACUUGGCCCCGCCCCCUUCAUUAGGCCCCGCCCCCUUCUUUAAGACACGCCCCUGAUCCCAGGCCACGCCCCUGCCCUUAGGCCACGCCCCCUCCAUUAGGCCCCGCCCCCUGGGCAUAGAACACAUUCACUUAGGCCACGCCCCCAGGACACCCCACCCCUUUAAGCCACGCCCCCUCAGUGUUAGACCACGCCCCUUUGAUUAGGCCACGCCCCCUUUUAAAGAGCCCCGCCCCCUUUUGGACACUCCCCUGGAGCACACCAAAGGGGGCGUGGCCUCCCGCCAGGGGGCGUGGCCUCCCUCCAGGGGGCGGGGCCUCUCCACCAGGGGGCGGGGCCUCCCGCCAGGGGGCGGGGCCUCCCGGGUCCCAAUGGGGGUAAUUAACGGGGCAGCCAAUUAACGGGGCUGGAAGCGGGGGCGCUGGGGGGGGGGGGCUAAUUAGCGAGGGAUGUUAAUGGGGGCCUUAAUGGGGUCCCACUAAUGGGAGUUCAUUAACGGGGGUUCAUUAACGGGGGCUCAUUAACGAGGUCCCACUAAUUAUUAUAAUUAUUAUAAUUAUUAUAAUUAUUAUAAUUAACUGAUUAUUGGGGUCCCAUUAACAAGGCUCCCAUUAACAGGGACCAAUUAAUAGGGUCCCACUAAUGGGGGGCUCAUUAAUGGGAUCCCACUAACGGGCGUCUCGUUAACAGGGUCCCAUUAACGAGGGUCUCAUUAAUGGGAUCCCAUUAACAAGGUCUCCUUAACGAGGUCCUACUAAUGGGGGUCUCGUUAAUGGGGUCCCAUUAAUGAGGGGUCCCAGUCCCCAUUCCCAGGGGUCCCCAUUAAUAGGGUCCCUAAUUAAUAGGGUCCCUAAUUACUGACAGAUCCCAGACCCUAUUACCAGGGAGUCCCCAAUUAGUAGGGU